UCGAAAUGUCGAAGAGUUUAAAAUAGCAAAAGUUCGCUUCUAGUUCUAAAUAUUUAAAACGCAACGCUAUUUGGUCAAUUUCCUGGCAAUUGUUUUUCUGUUACUCAAUUUAAUCAGUUGUUGUUUACCGUUGAGCGGUUGUAAAGGCCUACAUAUCGUUACGUGUCUGCUCGUUCUUCCAUAUGAAUUCUACACAGGAACAGUGGCUUGGCUGAGCCUUGACGCGGUGAUCCUGGAUUGAGAGCACGCUUGACUUACGCAUCUACAUAUCCUUUGAGUUGUACCAAGAAACCAAUCGUGCUGCAAGUGCUCACCAAAAUUGUAUCAGCGCUGUGAAACAAAUGUUGCUGUCAUAUCGCUAAUAGUGUCGUCACUUGCGUGAUCAGACAUACGCUUUACCGAGCGUGGGGAGCGACAGGGGGUAAUCGGUGUAAGUGGCGCCUAACCAGACGGUAUCGUCGGGGAAAUGACUGUUACGACGAAAACAUUCAUUGCAAGGCGAAAAUGAUUAAAAAUUUGA